rnacentral:rRNA from 1 species
AUUAGAUAAAAAACCAAUGCCCUUCGGGGCUUUCUGGUGAUUCAUAAUAACUAAACGAAUCGCAUGGCCAUGCGCCGGCGAUGGUUCAUUCAAAUUUCUGCCCUAUCAACUUUCGAUUGUAGGAUAGAGGCCUACAAUGGUUUCAACGGGUAACGGAGAAUUAGGGUUCGGUUCCGGAGAGGGAGCCUGAGAAACGGCUACCACAUCCAAGGAAGGCAGCAGGCGCGCAAAUUACCCAAUCCCGACACGGGGAGGUAGUGACAAUAAAUACUGAUACAGGGCUCUUUUGGGUCUUGUAAUUGGAAUGAGUACAAUUUAAAUCCCUUAACGAGGAACAAUUGGAGGGCAAGUCUGGUGCCAGCAGCCGCGGUAAUUCCAGCUCCAAUAGCGUAUAUUAAAGUUGUUGCAGUUAAAAAGCUCGUAGUUGAACCUUGGGUCUGGCUGGCCGGUCCGCCUCACCGCGUGCACUGGUCCGGCCGGACCUUUCCUCUUGGGGGAUCUGCAUGCCCUUACUGGG